CAGCUAAGCAACCCUGCCUUCCUCCCUUUUUAUUAAUAUUUUGUUGACUAGAAUAAGAAUCUUCACAGAAGUAUCCAUGUUGUUCUGGAACUGACUCAAUUCCAUGUUUCCGCUGGAAGGAAAUACUUGUCUGUUUCGGGAGCUCACCUUCGGGCAUCUUUGAUUCUGGCUCUGUGUAAGCAGGGAGGAGGGUCUCGGAGCUUCAGACCUCCAAGGCGUGCCUGUCCAGGCGUGGCUCUCAAAUUUCUGAAGAUUGUUGUAUGCUUGACCACCCCUGUAUUAUUGUUUUACUUGGUUUGCUCAUAGUGAAAUUAUUGCAGACUGA